UUCAGUGAAGUGCACUGCAGACAAGGCCCCCUCUGAUCCUGAUGUGUCAUCUCACAGGGAACGUGUGACAGACAGCGGCAAAGAAUAUUGAGAGUGGCUUACAAGCUGAAAAAAUAUUGGUGUACUACAGACAAUAAAACUCAAUGUGAGGAAACUAGACACAUAUGCAGAAAACAGGCUAAGAACCACACGGGUCUCUGAAACCAGAACAAAUGUCUCCAUCGACAAUGCCUGUAACAGAACCUGAAGGAGGAAACACCUACUUUGUGGGCUGCCAGAGAAGAGUCCACAUGGGAAGAAACUGAGGUUUCCAGCAAAGGGUAAUUAAGGACAAGAGCCAGUGAGUGGACAUGGCGGCAGGACUCCCUCCUGUUGAGCAUGAGGUGGCUGGUCAAUAUCACAACCAGAAAACUGACACUGUUAAAGUCAAGACACAGAACAUUUCCAUCACCUCAGGGAGGCUUCAUGUUGCCCUUUUGUUAGCUACGUCCACCGUUUUCCCACCCUUCCGUCUCCUCUUUUACCCUUGGCAGCCACAAAUAUUCUUUGUAUAAUUCUGUCAUUUAAGGAAUGUUAUAUAAACAGAAUCAAUGUAUACUGACUUGGGGAUUUGCUUUUUCACUCAGCAAGGAGAUUCACCCAUGUUGUUGUGUAUAUCAAUAGUCUUAUUUUUUUCUUUUGCUGAGUAGUAUUCCAUGAUAUGGCUGUAUCAUAGUUCAUUUAACGGUUCACCUAUUGGAGGACAUCUCAGUUGUUUCCAG